rnacentral:rRNA from 1 species
UCAUUACCCUUCUCUCAGGGGGAUGGACGCAACAGGUUCACGCUUGUUGCUCCGCCCUUUCUGAAUAUACCCAUGUCUUUUGCGUACUAUUUGUUUCCUCGGCAGGCUUGCCUGCCGAUAGGACAUCAUUAAACCUUUUGUAAUUGCAGUCAGCGUCAGAAAAACAUAAUAAUUACAACUUUCAACAACGGAUCUCUUGGUUCUGGCAUCGAUGAAGAACGCAGCGAAAUGCGAUAAGUAGUGUGAAUUGCAGAAUUCAGUGAAUCAUCGAAUCUUUGAACGCACAUUGCGCCCCUUGGUAUUCCAUGGGGCAUGCCUGUUCGAGCGUCAUUUGUACCCUCAAGCUCUGCUUGGUGUUGGGUGUUUGUCCCGCCUUGCGCGUGGACUCGCCUUAAAGCAAUUGGCAGCCGGCAUAUUGGCCUGGAGCGCAGCACAUUUUGCGCCUCUUGUCAUGAAUGUUGGCAUCCAUCAAGACUAUAUUUUUGCUCUUGACCUCGGAUCAGGUAGGGAUACCCGC